UGCCUUCCUCUUCACCACGUCAUUCACUGACAGGAAAAGAAUUGUGCAGCAAACGGUGCAGCAAACGAACUGAGUGGAUCUGGCUGCAGGGCCCUGUCAGUCAUGGCUAUGAUCUUUCCUCUUCUUGCAUUCAGUUCUGUUGGAGCCCAAGCUGAAUAAAGGUUUAAAAACAAAGAAAUUGGACUCAUGAAGGAAACUGAAUCACAAUUUGACAGGUUUCUGAACACAUAUUUCAUCGCCGUAGUACAGUUAUUCUCUGGAUGUAAACCAUGAUCAAGAGGAACUUGCAAAGCAUUCAUUAGUAUACUAAGACGUUCUUCUGGAUUAGCAUGUACUAAAGAGAGUUGCCAGUUAGACACAAUCCAGUCAAAAGUCUACAAUUAUCUUUGUGUUCCAAGGGUUGAACUGUCUAUAAAGGCCCCAGGAAAACUCCUAACCAUCUUGUGGAAAUAGAUGGAAAUUAGAUUAUGUAGAACUAGAACCAGACCAUGUUGUUUUACCAGUUACGAAUUCCUGAGCUGCCUCUGAACCACUCUUCAAGAAAAGAAAAUUGAAAUUGUCCAGGAGAAAAUGCCUGGAUGAAUCAAUCAAUCACCCACCUGGCAAUGAGGUCAAGCAGCUCAAGCAGGGAUAAAGCUAUGCCACAGCAGAAAGUGUUUCAAGAGCCUUUCCUCACCUGUUGUAAUCAGAAGAAGAAAUAACUUCAAGGAACAGGAGAUGAAGCCACAACCAAGAUAAUGGUCAGAUAAAAGAAAUCUGAGUCCAGGGCAUAAAUGUAAUCUGAGAAGAAGAAUGCAGAUGAGCAGCGGUCUGCAAGGAAUAUUAAAUCCUUCCAUUCCCCACCAUCCAGUCAGAGCUAAAGAAGCUUCUUGGAUGAGAAGCAAAAUGUCUUCAAAGAAAAAUAAGGAAGUCCAGUUGCUCGUGAAAAGGCAUCUUUGGGACAACUAUGACCUGGAUGACUGAGAAUCUCCGUAGACAUUCAUAAUCUGAGAAAGUGUUUCAGACAGGACCCGCCCUAUUGUCAUGAAAAAAAAUAGAGGGAAGAGGGAAACCCAUUCAAACUUGCAAGAUUCUAUGACUAUAACCUUAUAAUAUGAGGGCAAUUCAGAA